GUGUUUGCGCUCGGGCAGCACAUAAAGUAAACUGGAACGAUACAAAGAUGGCCCCUGGGCAAGGAUGACAUGCAAAUUCAUAAAAUGUUCCAUAUUUUU
rnacentral:snRNA from 1 species